rnacentral:rRNA from 1 species
GAUGAACGCUGGCGGUAUGCUUAACACAUGCAAGUCGAACGGAACCUUUCGGGGUUUAGUGGCGGACGGGUGAGUAACGCGUGAGAACAUGCCUUUAGAUUGGGGACAACAGUUGGAAACGACUGCUAAUACCGAAUAUGCCUACGGGUGAAAGAUUUAUUGUCUAAAGAUUGGCUCGCGUCAGAUUAGCUAGUAGGAGUGGUAAUGGCACCCCUAGGCGACGAUCUGUACUUGGUCUGAGAGGAUGACCAGGCACACUGGAACUGAGACACGGUCCAGACUCCUACGGGAGGCAGCAGUGGGGAAUUUUCCGCAAUGGGCGCAAGCCUGACGGAGCAAUACCGCGUGAGGGAGGACGGCUUUUGGGGUUGUAAACCUCUUUUAUCAGGGAAGAAUCGAUGACGGUACCUGAUGAAUCAGCAUCGGCUAACUUCGUGCCAGCAGCCGCGGUAAU